rnacentral:lncRNA from 1 species
GACUAUGAUUGUGAUAUCCUAUACCAUCCAGGUAAUGGCAACGUGGUAGCCGAUGCCCUCAGCAGGAAAAGUGCAGGCACCCUAGCCCAUUUGAUGGUUUCAGAAUGCAGGUCAAUUGGGGCCACGCAGCAGGUUCGACUGCGAGAUCUGAAGAGGGCCACAUGUUUGGGCCACCUAGCAGUCCAACCCGAGUUAAUCCAAAGAAUAAAGAAAGC